UACAGAGGGUGCAAGCGUUGUUCGGAAUCAUUGGGCGUAAAGCGCACGUAGGCGGCUUGUUAAGUCGGGUGUGAAAUCCCUGGGCUCAACCUAGGACGUGCACCUGAAACUGGCGAGCUUGAGUCUCGGAGAGGGUGGUGGAAUUCCCAGUGUAGAGGUGAAAUUCGUAGAUAUUGGGAGGAACACCGGUGGCGAAGGCGGCCACCUGGACGAUGACUGACGCUGAGGUGCGAAAGCGUGGGGAUCAAACAGG
rnacentral:rRNA from 1 species